ACAAAAAGAUACUCCAGCACAUAUACCAAAUCCAAAAAAAUAAUUUUCAGCCCUCUCACAUUUUAGAAAAAAUAACAACCAAUUAAUCCCUUCAAAUUUGGAGGUUUUAUUCAACGCUUCGAGUUCGUGGCUUUUGAACCUUAGCUAUUGAAGAAAUUAAGUUUCGCAAGAGGUAAUCCUCAAUCUUUUGUUAUUAUAUAAUUUCAUGUCAUGAUGAAUGAUACAUAAAUUUAAUGUUACAAAGUUGCGCACAUUAUAGAUGUGUUAAUUGAUUAUUCCUUUAUGACGUUAUUAUAUGAAGUACGUUCAUAAUCUUAUUUAAUUGAAUCUAAAGUAGAGUGUUUUUUUGGUAUAGUAGAUCGUGUUUGCUUUCACAUCCGAAGUUAUAGUGUUUGUCCAAUGUCAAGCAAAAUAUUUGUUAUGUAAUAUUUCAAUAAAAGUUUAUCUACCCUUAUAGCAUUAGUGUUUAGUCAUAUUUUAGUUGCUGCUUUACAAGUUUUUAGUUUAAGGUAUUAUUAAAAUAAAUUAAUAUUAUUUACUGUACAUGUUGAUAAAUAUUAUAUACUUGGAUUGUAUUUGAAUACUACAUGAGGAUUUUAUACUACUAAUACUCAUUAUUGGAUUUUUAAUGGAGAAGGAAUCUAGUCUUCAAAUAUAAUAUUUAAUAUUAUUCAUCAAAAAAUGAUAUUUAAUAUUUGAAAUAUUUGAUACAAUAUUUGUGUUGUUUUGUGAGUUUGAGCAAGUUAUUUCUUUAUUUUCUCCAUUUUUGGUUAGUUACUAGUACUAGCACUAGUUACGUCAAGAACCAUAUCCAACAUAUUACCUAGAUUGAGAUGAUAAAAAUUAUAUAUAUAUAUGUGUGUGUGUGUGUGUGCGCGCGCGCGCGCGCGCAUGGAGUAUCGUAAAAGGUUUAAGUUGUUUCAUCAUUAUAUUGUUUAUUCGAAUUCGAACAAAAAAGACAUAAAAUAUGGUGUUAUAUAUAUAUGUGUGUGUGUGUGUGUGUGUGUGUGUGCGCGCGCGCGCAUGGAGUAUCGUAAAAGGCUUAAGUUGUUCAUCUUUUAUUCUCAAUGUAUUAUUUAUUCGAAUUCGAACAAAAGAGACAUAAAAUAUUGUGUUACAACAUUAAAAAUUGUGUCACUAAAACAAAUCGACAUACAUAAAAAUAUUAAAAAGUUACUUUGUUCUUAAUUUAUUAACUCAAGUGAAAGUUAACGAUGAAGUUGGAAAGCCCAGCUACCGAUCACUCGUUAUAGUAAAAUUAAUAUCCCAUUUUAAAACUGAUCUAAUUGGGACGGAUAAAUUUUUAAAUAUGUUAGAAUCUUGCUUAGACUUGAGAAAAAUGGGAACGAUCCAUAAAUGCCACAAAGGUGCGAGAAAUAUACCAAAACUCAUAUAAGGCCAAAAAGUACUACUAUUGGUAAGUCACGCAUCAAGGUAGUUUUUGAUAAAUUCUCAAUAAAUAAAAAUAGGAUAGAAAUCACUUUUAGGCUAACAAAUAUUAUAUAUCUAAAAGAUUAAUUUAAGCCAGACUUAAGUCAUUAAAGCGACUAUGCAAGAACCACGGGACUCGAGGGUGCCUCACACCUUCCCCUCGGUCAAUAGAAUUUCUUAUCCGAACUUCUAGAUCGCAGACUAAAAAAUUAAGAGUCAUUUCCUUUUGAUUGGGGAUUCAAUAAGGUGACUUGGAACACCCAAACUCAAUUUCAAGUUGCAACUCUAUAAAAUAAAUAAUCCCUUUCCAAAACGUCACUUUAAUUGAAAAACCCCUUUUUUCUCUAAAACGAACUCCCUAGUGGGGUUGGGGCGGUAAAUGUUAUUUCCUUCUACGGGUACGCAGAAUCUGUAUAUGCAAAACAACAACUUCAACUAGUUCAAGUUUAAAACAAGAACUCAAUGAAGUAUAAAAAAACCCUCAACACAAGAUCAAAGUGAUCUUUCUUAGAAGUGUAUUUUAUUUUUAGAAAUCAAGAUGAAAUAGAAAUGGCCAAGUCACCCGAAUUCACGAACUUUCCUUAAGGAAAUAAUUCCCCUCACUGUACCCGAGGUUGCGAAAUUUUUCUCCCAGGAUAAAAUGGCCAAACAAACCAAUUGUAGCAGUACCUCAAACAACUGGAAUAUCUUCGAACUCACUGAACGUUUUGAGUGAUCACACAGAAUAUUUUUAAGGCAAGAAGAGUGUUUUAUUCUGAAAUUUUCAUACCAAAACCUGUGGAUGAAAGCAGGUUUAUAUAGCCACAAGAUGCCUCUUCUGAAAAGUGGCAAUUGUUCAUUCCAAAGGUGUAAUUUUUUCUGAAAAUUCAUGUCCAUUCGUCCAAAUAAUGUGUCUAUUCCAAACAGGCAUGCCAUUUCGUAAAUCAGUAUGUCAUUUUGUUGAAGAAUUGCAUCCUUCUGAAGCAUCAGUUCGAAAUAGUGCAACUUUUUUAAAGCAUCAGUUCAGUUCGAACAUUGCAUCUAUUACUGUUACUGUAUGCAUAUAAAUGGAGUAUUAAACACACAGAAAAAUUUUCUGCAUUUUUGUCAUUGAUCAGAUUUCUUCAAAUAAAGUUUGUCCAAAAAGAUAGAUCUCAUUGAUCGAUCAUUUGACAAAUCCAAAUCCGAAGCCAAAGUCGAGCCGAGCGAGCGACGACGACGGCGUGAGGCAUCUCUUAUUUCUUGCCUCACUUAUCAUGUGGAGUAAGUGUUCUUGAUUAUAAACGCUUCCAAGUUCUCUUCUUCCACCAAUGUAGGAGAAAGAGUAAACUUUCUAAUUUGGGAGUACACUUUCCAUUUUAGUGUCUCCUUCCCUCCACCAUUUUACUCUCCAUUUUUCCAUUCACACUUCUUUCAUAUAGUAUGAACCUAACAGUAAAAAAUAGGGGUGUGACAAUGAAAUAAUUUGCUUGGAUAUGUAACCUGCAUGCAUAAUUGAUAAAAUACUUGCGUGAUUUUCUCUUAAUAAGAGACAUGGCAUCGAAUAGCAUAAUUGCUGACUUGAACAAAGAAGAAAAACUAAAUAGUGACAAUUAUGAUAUUUGGAGUCAUAAAAUAUGGUAUGUUCUGGAAGAGCAAAAUGUUCUUGAAGGUAUUAACCAUGUCUUAUGUCUACCAAAAAAGGGUAAUACUACACAACAUAGAAGAGACCUUGAAGCUUAUAAGGCUUGAAAAAAGGUUGAUUCCAUUGCACGUGAAAUCAUUGUAAGUUCUGUGGUUGAUGACCUCAUACACAAAUGUGAGGAAUUUUCUACUGCCAAUGCCAUAUGGUUACACUUACGAGGAACAUAUGGGGUACUUCUAUUACCUGUGUCAGACAGUUGACUAUCAAGUUUGACACUUACAAGAAAUGUCAUAAUCAAAACAUCAAACAACACCUUAGGGUGAUGUCGAAUAUAAUAGCUCAACUCAAAAGUAUUGGUCACGUUCUCUUGGAUGAGAAGCAGGUCCAAGCAGUGAUACGAUCUCUUCCCAACAGUUGGGAACACUUGCAGGUUAACUUAACCUACAAUGAUAGCAUUAAAACUUUCUCUAAUGUUGCCCGUUAUGUUGAACUUGAAGAUGAGCGGCUUGGUGCUACUAAAGCUGUUUUUAAUGCCAUUAUGGUAGAAUCAAGUGGUAAAAAGUCUUCAGGAUUCAAGCGUAAGAAAAAAUAGAAAAAAAGGGAAGUGUAACGAUACCGAAGAAGGAUCCUCUGAGAAAAAACAAGCCAAAUUCCAAGAAGAGAAAAAAAAUUCAAGAAAAAAGACAAAAGCAAGAUGAAGUUCUACAAUUUCCAAAUUCUGGGGCAUUUUGCUCGUGAAUGUCCUGAGCAGAAAAAGGUAGCAUUUCUAAACGAAAUUCUAAGUGCUAUGUAUAUUUCUAGCACUGCCUUAUUAACUGAAUCUUAUCCUAUGUGGAUUGUAGACUCAGGAUCCACCGACCAUAUGAUUCAAGAUCGAGAAGCAUUUGUGGAGUUCCGUUGAGUUUCACCUGGAUCAAGGUGGAUCUAUGUAGGAAAUAAUACAAGAAUUGAAGUCAAAGAGAUUGGUACUUGCAAAGUAGACUUGUCGGGAGGCCGGUCUCUAAUGUUGUAUGAUGUCUUAUAUGCUCUAGAGAUUCGAUCAAACUUAGUGUCUAUGUUUGUUCUUUUAGAUGUUGGUUUUCAUUUGUUUUUCAGUCGCAAUUGUGUAAGUAACUCUAGAUAAUGUCUUUUAUGGUUUUGGACAUCGUUAUGAUCGUUUUAUUAUUUUAGAUUAUAAUCCUUCAACUUAUGACUAUUAUGUUGAUUGUUGUGUAAUGUCUUGUUAUUCUAGUAAUAAUGAUGUUGAUAUACUUAUAUGGCAUGCUAGAUUGGGUCACAUAGGGCAAGAUAAAAUGAAUAGAUUGGCAAAGAAAGGACAUCUAGGUUCUUUCUCCAAAAUUGAAAUGCCAACUUGUGAAAAUUCUCUUACCGAAAAGAUUACACGUAAACUAUUUGGGAAGCCUAAAGGAGCCAAAUUUCCAUUGCAAUUAAUCCAUUCUAAUAUCUAUGGUUCAAUAAAUAUGAGGGCAAGGGCUAGUGCUUCAUAUUUUUUACAUUUACUGACGAUUUCAUGCCCUUUGGUUAUGUCUAUUUGACAUCCCAUAAAUUCAAAGUACUUGAAUACUUUAAGAGAUAUAUGAAUGAACUUGAGAAUCAAUUAGACAAAGGUAUAAAGGCAUUAAGAACUGAUAAAGGUCGUGAAUAUUUAUCAAAAUAGUUUGAAGAACUGUGCAUUGAAAAAAGGCAUUACCAAACAAGUAACUACUCCUUAUACACCUCAACAAAAUGGUGUAGCCGAAAGAAGGAAUAAAACAUAGUUGGAUAUGACAAGAUCCAUGAUGGCAUAGGCAAAUUGAUCAAUCUCUUUCUAGGGAGAUGCACUAUUAACUGCGGCCUACAUAUUGAAUAAAGUGCUUUCUAAAUUAGUAUCUUCUACUCCUUAUGAACUAUGGACUGAUAAUAUACCAAACUUUAAUGAUCUACGACCUUGGGGUUGUGCUGCAUACAUUAAAGAUUGUUUUGGUAAGUUUGAAAAAUUAAGUCCAAAAGAAAAGAAAUGUAUCUUUAUAAGAUACUCAGAACACUCUAAAGGGUAUGUGUUCAUUGGUGAUUUGGAAGAUGAAAGUACUAUUGAAAUUGAAUCACGAGAUGUCACAUUGCUGAAAAAUAAUUUUUUCAAAAAGGGAUGAAAUAAAGAAAAACAAGCCUCUUUACGAAAUGCUGAAUUCAGUUGAUCAAGUAAUGUUGCCAAAAAUUCUUGAUAAUUCAAUAGAUCAAGAAAUAAUUCUUGGAACAAGUGGGAGUUGUGAAUUUCAAAAUUCUAUUGAGGAAUUUGAACUUCAAUCACGUAAGAGUACUAGAAAAGGUGUACCUAAACGAUCUUAUGAGAUUGAGGAUUAUGUUUUCUUGUUAUCUCUCAUAGAAUAGGAUGAACCUAAUUCUGUGACUGAGGCUUUAUCGAGUCCUGAAAAAAAUGAAUGGAUAAAAGCGAUGAAAAAAGAAUUAGAGUCCAUGAAAAUCAAUAAAGUUUGGGAUCUAGUUGACCUUCCUUCUGGGUGUAAAUCUAUUGGGAACAAAUAGAUUCUCAAAGUUAAACACAAAUCAGAUGGGACAAUAGAAAGGCACAAAGCACGAUUAGUGGAAAAAAGUUUUACUCAAGAAGCUGGAAUAGAUUAUGAGGAAACUUUUUCACCAGUUGUAAAACUUACCUCAAUUUGCUUACUUUUGGCUAUAGUUGCACGUUUAGAUUUAGAAUUACACUAAAUGAACGUGAAGACCGCGUUUCUCAAUGGAGAACUAAACGAGGAAAUCUACAUGGAACAACUUGUAGGUUUUGUUAAAGGCCAAGAAAAAAAGAUUUGUAAAUUAAACGGAUCAAAAUAUGGCCUAAAGUAGUUCCAAGGCAAUGGUACCUAAUAUUUCAUAAGGAAGUGAUUUCAUUUGAUUUCAUUAUGAUCGAUGAAGACCAUUGCAUCUAUGUGAAAAAGUCCAAUGAAAUAUUUGUGAUUCUUUCACUUUACGUGGAUGAUAUUUUAUUAGCUGAAAAUAAUUUAGAGUAUGUGAAAACUAUUUAGUCAUGACUUUCAAAGUCAUUUGACAUGAAAGAUAUCGGUGAAGCAGACUAUAUAUUGGGUGUUAAAAUCUAAAAUGAUCGUUCCAAAAAAAUUUUGAGUCUUUCUCAAGAAACAUACAUAAAGAAAAUUCUAGAACGCUUUCGAAUGAAUAGUUGUAAAUCCAUGGAUAGUCCUAUAGCAAGAAGUGAAACUUUAAGUCUUGAAAUGUGUCCAAAGACUAAAAAAGAAAAAGAAGAUAUGUCUCGAAUUCCAUAUUCUAGUGCAGUUGGGAGUUUGACGUAUGCUAUGAUGUGUACUCAUCUAAACAUUUGUUAUGACGUAGGUCUGAUUAGCAGGUAUCAAUUCAAUCCUGGAAAAGAUCA
rnacentral:lncRNA from 1 species